GAGCUCUAUUUCAUCAAUGUUUUCGACAUUACAUCAUAGAGUUAUUAUAGAUAGAGUAGGGAAGACAGGGAAGACAUAGGAAAGGCUCUUGGGAUACGGUUUCCAGGCAACGUUUCCUGCCCUAUGGCCGAUGCUAUGAUUUACUUUUUAGAAUUAAAAGAUAUCGGAAGUGGUACAUAGUGGUACAGCUGUUCUAUUGAUGACAGAUGUCAUUUAUUUUUAAUCAUUCUGAUGUACUCAGACUUGUUCUAAUUCAAUCACCGAUUUAAAAAUCGGAACAAACUUUCCAGACAACUCAACAUUUGGAUUAUAAAAAUUACCUUAAUAUUUUAUGUAACAUAUUGCUUGAAUAAAUUGAAAUCUUGAAUA